rnacentral:rRNA from 1 species
UACAGAGGUGGCAAGCGUUGUUCGGAAUUACUGGGCGUAAAGGGCGCGUAGGCGGUUCGUCAAGUCCUGUGUGAAAUCCCCCGGCUCAACUGGGGAACUGCACAGGAAACUAGCGGGCUUGAGUUCGGGAGAGGGAAGCGGAAUUCCGGGUGUAGCGGUGAAAUGCGUAGAUAUCCGGAGGAACACCGGUGGCGAAGGCGGCUCCUGGACCGACACUGACGCUGAGGCGCGAAAGCUAGGGGAGCAAACGGG